rnacentral:rRNA from 1 species
AUGUGGCGGCGGCCGCAAGCUGUCCUGUGUCGUGUCUCGCUGGCGAACCUGUCUCCAGCGGCAUGGGCUGGUGGUGGGGCCAGCUACCAUGGCUCCUCGUCAGAGGGGGGGAAGGGAAAGGCGGCGCCUUUGCAGGCACGUGGGAUGGUGGACAGGUUCCGGCUACUUGCCAGGGGUGGCGACGGUGGCAAUGGCUGCAUCAGCCAAAGGCGCUCCAGGUCCGACCGCCAAGGCAGGCCCGAUGGUGGUGAUGGAGGAACAGGUGGUAAUGUCAUUCUUGAGUGCUCAAGAUCUGUCUGGGAUUUCAGUAACUUGCAACAUCACACGAAAGCAGUCCGAGGAGGCAAUGGACUUUCUAAGAAACAGAUAGGGACAAGAGGUCCUGACAAGGUCGCACAAGUACCAGUUGGCACAGUGAUUCAUCUAGUCCGAGGGGAGCGACCGUCUUUCACUGUAAAUAAACCAACCAGAUCUCUAGAUCCAUGGGAUAUCCCAGAUGCUGUGGAUGACUCUGCAGACAGUUCCAAUCAGAAGAACAAGGAUGGCAUUAAUGGAUAUGAAGCUGAAAGAGAAAGAAGCAAUCAGUGGGAGAAGCAAACAUACCCUAGUGCAUGCUCCAAGGCUAGGUUUUCGAACGCUGAAGAUAGCGAUGCAAGUAGCAUUCAACCUCAGGUCGAUUUGGAUGAAAAUGAUCAGUUUGAUGAUGACGAUGAAGAAUUUUGGGAGGAUGAAGAAGAGACGGAGGAAGAGGCUCUAGAUGCAGAUGAGGAGGGGGAAGAAGAUGAUAUACAGUAUUCUGUUGCUGAAAUGACAAGACCUGGGCAACGGUUGAUCGUAGCACAAGGAGGGGAGGGUGGGCUAGGGAAUGCUUCUAUCGGCAGAGACGUCCGUCUAUCCAAAGGAAAUAGACAAGAGGAGGUAGCCCGUUUAAGUACUGGACAGCCAGGAACAGAGUCUUUUCUUGUCUUAGAACUGAAGAGCAUUGCUGAUGUUGGCCUUGUUGGUUUGCCAAAUGCCGGAAAGAGCACACUUCUGAGUGCUCUCUCUAGGGCUCGCCCGGAGAUUGCUGACUAUGCGUUCACCACACUAAGGCCCAAUAUUGGUAGCCUAACCUACGACGACUACUUGUCAGUGAAAGUUGCUGACAUACCUGGUCUUAUCAAAGGUGCCCAUGAGAACCGUGGCCUGGGCCAUGCCUUCUUGAGGCACAUUGAGCGCACCAAAGUUCUGUCCUAUGUGCUUGACCUGGCAGCAACACUCAACGGUAGGAAGGGUAUCCCACCAUGGGAGCAGCUACGCGAUCUGGUGGUGGAGCUAGAGCAUUACCAAGAAGGCAUGACAAAGCGGCCAUCGUUGAUUGUUGCAAAUAAAAUAGAUGAAGUGGGAGCUGACGAGAUGUAUGAAGAACUGAAGAGGAGAGUGCAAGGUGUUCCGAUAUUUCCAGUGUGCGCCAUCUUGCAAGAGGGAGUACCUGAUCUGAGAGUUGGCCUGAGAGACCUUAUGGAUGCCUCGGAUCCGCAAGGUGUCGAUUUGAGCAAAGUUAUUGUAGACUAA